GCCAGACUCCUACGGGAGGCAGCAGUGGGGGAUAUUGGACAAUGGGGGAAACCCUGAUGCAGCAACGCCGCGUGAGUGAAGAAGUAUUUCGGUAUGUAAAGCUCUAUCAGCAGGGAAGAAAAUGACGGUACCUGAGUAAGAAGCCCCGGCUAACUACGUGCCAGCAGCCGCGGUAAUACGUAGGGGGCAAGCGUUAUCCGGAUUUACUGGGUGUAAAGGGAGCGUAGACGGCGAUGCAAGUCUGAAGUGAAAGCCCGGGGCUCAACCCCAGGACUGCUUUGGAAACUGUAUGGCUGGAGUGCUGGAGAGGCAAGCGGAAUUCCUAGUGUAGCGGUGAAAUGCGUAGAUAUUAGGAAGAACACCAGUGGCGAAGGCGGCUUACUGGACUGUAACUGACGUUGAGGCUCGAAAGCGUGGGGAGCAAACAGGAUUAGAUACCCGUGUA
rnacentral:rRNA from 1 species